UUCCGCUUCUUGCUUCCUCUGCCUCCAGUGACAUUCUACCAGAUAUUUUGAUGGCUACCUUGUCAUCAGCUUCGAGGAUUUACAUAAAAUUCGCCUUUUUGUUAUGGAGUACCUACCAUAGAUUCAGGAGAGAUAACAGGUAAUUUGGAGAGGACUGCUGUGUAUUCACGGAGCUCUUAGGAGAAAGAAGGAACCAGCUCAGUCAGACUGACACCUAAUGGAAACUUUUAUAAGAAGAUAAUUCUGCAAAGGAAAGAGAGCAAUGAGAUAAGUAUUGAAACCACUUGAACCAAGAAAAUCAAAUACUUGUUGACCAUGAGAUGAGUAGAGGUUUCCUUUAGAUUUCAUCACUAGCAUUUACAAUUAUUCCACUUAAAAAAUUAUUAUUCAUUUAUGAAGCAAAUGCAAUCAUAAGCUAAAGUCCCACUGGCAAAGAACUGAAUGAAAUAGCUUGUUUUUAAAAGUUCUUCCUCAGUCUCUCAACGAAUGCCAGAGUAUUACCUUUCAUUUCCGGAAAACUCUAUCACUAGGCCCCCAGCUCCCUUUCUUUCAAAUCUUAUACACUUACUAGUCAACCAGCAGCAUGAGGCUAACUUUCCAAAGAUCACCUAGUUACUAGAUUAUGUGGCUCUCUCUACUUUCCCAAUUUCCCAAUAAAACAAUGCCACUAGCAGACAUAUUGAAUUUUGUUAAAUACAUAACAAGCCCUUAAUCACCAACUGGUGUAUCCCUAUGGAAAGAGGAUAAUUCAUGGAACAAUGAAGGGAAGAACAGUAGUCACACAUUCCCUUGCUAGUGAGAGAAUGUCGAGUGCAGAGAUAGCAUAUUUGUGCUUUCUUUUCUACUUCAAUUCCUUCCUUAAAGGGACUUGCCCUGGGAGCUUCUCAGAAGGUCCCCACUCAUUUUCCUCGCAAACAACUUUCCCUGAGCGCAAAAGCUGUGAGUGUAGAUACCCCGCGAGUAACUGUGGGAUCAGACGCGGUGUAGUGGAAAUAGGGUCAGGAGAGGAGUGGCGCCUUGUACCCCUCACUAGGAAUCCAAAGUACUAAAAGAAACGCAAAGCUCUACAUGGGAAAGCAUGCGAGUGUGCCUGCCUUCUUCGAAGCACCUCGCUCUCCAGGGCUCAGAGCUGCCCUUGUGGGCAAGAACUCAGUGCGGGUACGUGCACGUCGCGCCCAGGAAA